rnacentral:rRNA from 1 species
CUGACCUCGGAUCAGGUAGGGAUACCCGCU